rnacentral:rRNA from 1 species
CCUACGGGUGGCAGCAGCGAGGAAUAUUGGGCAAUGGGCGAGAGCCUGAACCAGCAAAGUCGCGUGAGGGAGUACUUCCCUAUGGGUUGUAAACCUCUUUUGUCGGGGAGCAAAAGCCGGACGUGUCCGGCUGUGAGCGUACCCGAAGAAAAAGCAUCAGCUAACUCCGUGCCAGCAGCCGCGGUAAUACGGAGGAUGCGAGCGUUAUCUGGAUUUAUUGGGUUUAAAGCGUGCGCAGGCGGAUUUUUAAGUCAGCGGUAAAAUCGUGGGGCUCAACCCCAUCCAGCCGUUGAAACUGGGGAUCUAGAGGGUGCGAGAGGUAUGCGGAAUGCGUGGUGUAGCGGUGAAAUGCAUAGAUAUCACGCAGAACCCCGAUUGCGAAGGCAGCAUACCGGUGCACAACUGACGCUCAGGCACGAAAGCGUGGGUAUCGAACAGGAUUAGAUACCCCUGUAGUC